rnacentral:rRNA from 1 species
GACCGAUAGUGAACCAGUACCGUGAGGGAAAGGCGAAAAGAACCCCGGCGAGGGGAGUGAAAAAGAACCUGAAACCGUGUACGUACAAGCAGUGGGAGCACCCUUUGGGGUGUGACUGCGUACCUUUUGUAUAAUGGGUCAGCGACUUAUAUUCUGUAGCAAGGUUAACCGAAUAGGGGAGCCGGAGGGAAACCGAGUCUUAAUUGGGCGUUAAGUUGCAGGGUAUAGACCCGAAACCCGGUGAUCUAGCCAUGGGCAGGUUGAAGGUUGGGUAACACUAACUGGAGGACCGAACCGACUAAUGUUGAAAAAUUAGCGGAUGACCUGUGGCUGGGGGUGAAAGGCCAAUCAAACCGGGAGAUAGCUGGUUCUCCCCGAAAGCUAUUUAGGUAGCGCCUCGUGAAUUCAUCUCCGGGGGUAGAGCACUGUUUCGGCUAGGGGGCCAUCCCGGCUUACCAACCCGAUGCAAACUGCGAAUACCGGAGAAUGUUAUCACGGGAGACACACGGCGGGUGCUAACGUCCGUCGUGAAGAGGGAAACAACCCAGACCGCCAGCUAAGGUCCCAAAGUCAUGGUUAAGUGGGAAACGAUGUGGGAAGGCCCAGACAGCCAGGAUGUUGGCUUAGAAGCAGCCAUCAUUUAAAGAAAGCGUAAUAGCUCACUGGUCGAGUCGGCCUGCGCGGAAGAUGUAACGGGGCUAAACCAUGCACCGAAGCUGCGGCAGCGACGUUUAUGCGUUGUUGGGUAGGGGAGCGUUCUGUAAGCCUGCGAAGG